rnacentral:rRNA from 1 species
UACGUAGGUGGCUAGCGUUGUCCGGAUUUACUGGGCGUAAAGAGCGCGCAGGCGGUCGUUCAAGUCGAGUGUGAAAGCCCCCGGCUCAACUGGGGAGGGUCACUCGAUACUGAUCGACUUGAAGGCGGGAGAGGGAAGCGGAAUUCCCGGUGUAGUGGUGGAAUGCGUAGAUAUCGGGAGGAACACCAGUGGCGAAGGCGGUUGCCUGGGGCUGUGCUGACGCUGAUGCGCGAAAGCGUGGGGAGCGAUCCGG